rnacentral:rRNA from 1 species
UACGUAGGGUGCAAGCGUUAAUCGGAAUUACUGGGCGUAAAGCGUGCGCAGGCGGUUUUGUAAGUCUGACGUGAAAUCCCCGGGCUCAACCUGGGAAUUGCGUUGGAGACUGCAAGGCUAGAGUCUGGCAGAGGGGGGUGGAAUUCCACGUGUAGCAGUGAAAUGCGUAGAGAUGUGGAGGAACACCGAUGGCGAAGGCAGCCCCCUGGGCCAAGACUGACGCUCAUGCACGAAAGCGUGGGGAGCAAACAGG